rnacentral:rRNA from 1 species
UUCUGCGAAUUGUUUUGGCAAUUGUUUAUUCCUCUAAAAAAUAGUAGGUAUAGCACUGAAUAUCUCGAGGGAGUAUGAAAAUAUUUAUCUCAGAUAUUUAAUCUCAAAAUAACUAUUUCUUAAAAUAAAUAAUCAGACUAUGUGCGAUAAGGUAGAUAGUCGAAAGGGAAACAGCCCAGAACAGUAAUUAAAGCUCCCCAAUUAAUAUUAAGUGAAA